GUUUUGCCCUGUUUGUCCUGUGCAUCAGUGGAGUCAUCCAGCAGGUAUCUUCACCAAUGGGGGUCAGAAAGGUACCCUGGCCACUCCCAGCAGAGCCUGCAACCACGAACAAAGGCAUACAGGUGGCGUUUUACAAUUCUAAACCAAAGGGAAAUGAGAACCAGUGAAUUCACCUUUUGUGGGUUCAGCCACCACAACAGAGGAAGACCAGGAACCACACAGAGAGGGAGGAGUCAGAGAUAAGAAGAGGCUAGGUGGCGGGUGGGGCUGGGGAGGUCAAAGUCAGCAGAGAAGGGUUUGUUCCCUGAUCAAAGGGACAGCAAAGGAUGGGGGUGGCAGGUGCCAGGGAGAGGAAGCCAAAGGUCAUGGACACCAACAGGCAAACCUUAGGCUGGGCCCAAGCCCAGUGUCUGAGACCCUGACUCACCCCAGGGCCAGAAGGUAGGCACCAGGAAGGAGGACUUGAUAAAUAAAUACCCUGCUUGUUGCUCAGAUGAAUACAACCUAAAAAAGAAUAGUCAACACCUGUCACUCAGCUUUGGCAAUGAUCAACAUUCUGCAUCAUCUGUCCUCUAUUCUCUCCAUUCCCCUAACUCUCCAUUCGCAGUUUUUAGACUUCUUUUCUGAGGAGGGCAGUAAGUGGUAUUUAUAUUGAAAUGCACAAAUCUGCGCUGUUCCAGCUUGACAAAUGGAAACAUCUGUGUAACCCACAGCCCCUUCCCACCCAGAGGCAGUAGCGAUUCUGAUUUGCUUCCUCCUCAGAUUAGUUCUGCCUGUUCCAGAACUGCAUAUAAAUGGAAUCAGAGGCUACUCUUUCCUGUUGAGGUUAAUUUCACUCAGCAUAUGGAGUGUGAAUACAAAAACGAGCUCUCAAAAUUCGGUUCGAGUCUGGCAUUGGUGGUACAUGGAGUGCUGGCUUGAGAGACUGAGGCAGGAAGAUCUCUGAAGCCCAGAAAGGAGUGGUCAACUGGAGCAACAUAGCAAGACUGUGUGUCUAAUAAAUAAAUCAACACACAAUUCCAUUUGGGCCAAUCUGAUAUAAACAGGCCUAUAUCAUCCUCCCACCCAUCGUCUGUAAAUCUUUGGGAUAAGCAUUUCAAAUAAAAAUAAUCCCCGGGCUUCAGGGACAAGACCUGCAAAUGAACUAACUGUUCAAGGUCUGCUU